CGAUUUAAAUGCAAACCAAUAAUCCUUUUCUGCCGCUAAGUCUACUUUACUUUACCUUUCUCGCUGUCGUUGAGGGGCUAAUGCAUCUUACUGUUGUUUGUUUAAGCAUGAGUUAUUGAAAUGUACAUCCCCUCUGACUACAGCGUGGUGCACAAUGCAGUUGUUUAAAGCUGUAUACUCACAUGCUGUCUGUAGAGUGAGACUUCCACAAAGGCAAACCUGAGGACACCUAAAAGAUGCAUGAUGGGAAACGCAAUGAGCUGCUUGUCAGGGGAGAGACAAUUCACAGGAGAGGGCCUAUGAAAGCUAUAUACAUUCCCAAUUUACUCCCAUCUCUGCGGUUUUUAAGCUCUUCCAGGCCACAAGCCAAUAAUGUGAGGUUGGAUUCCCGACCCCGAGCGACCGGUGCACCCGACUUCUCUCUUCUGAUCCCAAAAGUUUGAAUUCCAGGAGCUGCCUUCCUUCUCCUGUCCGUCUUACAGGAGCGCGUCCCUCACGGAGUGGAUCCGUCAAACCAAAGUGAAGAGACGAGCGCGACGAGCAAACAAGCCCAGAAACAACAACAGCGGCGGCCCACGGGCGCAUUCAAGUUUGUCCUUGAAUUUCCACACCUGUGAGCGCCGAACGCGACCGGGGCCAUUUUGCGAAAUUGGAGGGAAACGCGCCGCAUGUUUGUCCAGCAUCAACUCGCCAGCGUGUUUAUUCCCCUCGUUUUUUGUUUUUUGUUUUUUUCACCAUUGUUUGCCUUUUUUCUUUGUGGCGCCGAAAUGCUCAAAUUGCAUUUCUCAGAUGUUGGUUCCCUGGAGGUGUGCGCUCGUCGGCAGGUGUCUGCAGGAAAAAGCGAAAAAAUGGAAGGGCGAGAGGAAGAGGCGCUGGAAGACGGAUAAAGAGAAAAGAGAAGGGGAAAAAAAGGAGGAUUGAAAGAGAGGAGCAGGAGACGUCUCCCACUCACUCUCCGGCUCGCAGCUGAAUUCACGCCAAAAUGCUUCAUCUGCUAUAUGUGCUCUUUAGCAAUGUAAAUGCAUGCGGAUGAACUCGGAUCCUGCAAGAAUAUAUGGCACACGUUUCUCACACCGUGAAAACUUUUUCACAAUUACUUGUUUGGCAGAAGAUGACAAACUAUCCGAAGCUCCUGUGAGCAACAUCCAAGUUACGGAAGUUUAGAACAAACAAGCGUUUUAUUUAUUUAUUUCUCCCCGAGGUGAGCGCCGACGAGCUAAAUCCCGCUAAAAAGCGUGAAACGCGCUGCUGUUUCCCCGCAAUAGUAAUUCCGUUUUCCUUAUUUUAUUUCCAAAUCAAUUAACUAACCUUGAGAUGAGCUUUGCUGUUGAUAAGUGCUGUACAGUGCAGCCCCCCCCCCCCCCCCCCUCUACUUUGAACGAGGCUUCCACUUCAGGCAGCAUAUAAUAGAUAUUGAACUGUAAAUUUGAAUUAAAAGCUCGGGUCAUUGUGCCUCAUUGACUUUCGACCACAAAAACCAAAUGAUGUCUUAGUUGAGAGAAAUAUAUCAAAGGAUAUCAACAAUUACGAGUCAUAAACACGCCUGGAGACGCGCCUGGCGGGCGUAAAGCAGCGGGAAUUAGCAUGUUGAGCUGAUAAAUAUGCAUGUAAAGACGCUCCCAGGGGAAUAACACGCGUGUGAUUGAUAGCUUUGGAAUUGAAGGAUGUGUAAAUUCCUUUUAUUCUGGGGGGUUGUGCUGUUGUAGCGCCGAAAUACAGAGCACUUGUUAAAAGUUUUACCAACUUUAUAAUCCUUAAUGCCACAUCUGUUUGCUGUCUUUAUAGCGCCUGUAAAACGUCAUUAUAUUAUUACCACCAGCUGGCCUCAUUGCACAAUAACCUCACUUAUCUGUUAUUCUGUGGGAAUACUUUUGAUUUA
ensembl:lncRNA